rnacentral:lncRNA from 1 species
UUUUAAGUAUUGUACUAAUGGAAUUACUAUUUUUAUCUUAAAUCUUAAAACCAUAGCAACAAUAUUUAUUUCCAGUCUUACUACAAUCACUUUAAUGCAUUUAAAAACUUACCAUAAAUGGUCACUAUAAUGACUGUUAAUUUAUAAAAGCUCUCAGAAGGAGCAGACUUCUCUUUUCCAUCAUGGUAAUUAGUAAUGGUAAUCAUAGCAAUUAGUAGAAGUCAAAUAUGAAUCGUAAUCAGAAAGAACUCAGUUGCUGUGUUUUAGGGUAAAGUAGGACUUGGCCCUAGGCAGGUUAUUCCAGAGAACCGGGUUCCCAGGCAAACUAGGAAGUUAGAGAUGUUUCUCCCCAGGGAGCCCCCUCCCUGCUCCAAGUACCCACUGUUCUCUCCUUCUCUCUACCUCACUUCUCUUAGCAUCUACUCUCAGAUCUUCAUUCACACUGAGGUGUUGAUGACUGGUUACUGUCCAACACAGCUAUUCUCAUUAGAGUGUGAGUGAUGUGCUGAAAAUAGCAUGGGACUUGGGAGAGUUCGAGGACUCUUGGAUUUUAACUACAAGGGAAGAAACCAAUCAUGACUCUCCACCUCUACAGAUGGAUGGGACAGCAGCACACACUCUCCAAUCAACAAGGAAUCUACAGGGGUGCCUGAGUGAAUCAGAAGGUUAAGUGUCCAACUCUUGAUUUCAGGUCAAGUGUUGACCUCAGGGUCAUGAGUUCAAGCCCUGCAUUGGGCUCCAUGCUGGAUGUGAAGUCUAUUUAAAAAAAAAAGCCUAAAAAAACAAAAAAUCUAUGAAAAUCUGAAUUUUCAUUGGGUCAGGUGAAAUGAAUUUGGUGCGGUUCAAGAUAUGCUACCCCCAAAUAUGGCACUUUGGUACUCCGAAUAUUUUAAGCUGAAGGAUUUUGAGAAAACAGCAGAAGAAGGCAGGUCUUUUUGACCUUUCUCUUCCCAACUCUCCUGAGGCAGGUCAUAAGAUCCUCAUGUGAGGUGCACUUCCUAUACCUGGAGGAAAGUGGUACUUUUAUAUCCUAAGAUAGAGAGAUGCAGAGAAGAAUAUGAAUGAACAGGCCUUGCUAAGUUUCCCAUAACUUACUACCCUUAGCUCAUCCCCUUUCUUUCCCAUCAUGUUUUUCCACCACUUCUCACUUUUCAUCAAACCUCAUAUAAAAAUGCUAAGAUUUAACAGCCAUUUUAUUUUGUGUGUGUGUGUGUGUGUGUGUGUGUUUUGUUUGUUUUAAAGUUUAUUUCGAGAGAGAGAGAGAGUGCACACAUGUGAGUGGGGGAGGGGUAGAGAGAGAGGAAGAGAGAAUCCCAAGCAGGCUCCACACUGUCAGUGCAGAGCCUGAUGCAGGGCUAGAACUCAGGAACUGUAAGAUCAUGACCUGAGCUGUAAUCAAAAGUUGGACAUUCAACCGACCAAGCCACCCAGAUGCCCCAACAACCUCUUUGGAUCUUUAUUUCCCUAUGAAGGCUCUCAUAUUACAUAACACUUACACUAAAUGUGUAUGCUUUUAUCUUAUUAAUAUGCCUUUUGUUUCAAACCCCCAACUGAAAACCUAGAAUGGUAGAAGGAACAAUAUUUUUUUUCCUCUCUAAAUGUUGUCAGAGCAAUAAGGCCCUGCUGAUUUUAUACAGAUAGUUGAGUGGACAAACUACUGUGGUUUCCAAGGUAGAUUCCCAGCAACAUUACCAAAAAGAGGAUAAACAUAGGCUUCUAGACAAUGAAGAAAGCCUUAGAUAAUGGCUCGGCAUCACUAGGUGAUGCAAAAAUAUCUAGCUCCCUAUAAUGCUAAGUAAAAUAAGUGACUCAGAGAAAGACAAAUACUAUACUAUUCACUCAUAUAUGGGAUUUAAGAAAUAAAGAAAAAAAAAGACACA